AGAAUCACUUGAACCCAGGAGGCUGAGGUUGCAGUGAGCCUGAGAUUGCGCCACUGCUUUCCAGCCUGGGCAACAAGA
rnacentral:snRNA from 1 species